rnacentral:rRNA from 1 species
UGCAGAGGUCUCAAGCGUUGUUCGGAUUCAUUGGGCGUAAAGGGUGCGUAGGUGGCGCCGUAAGUGGGGUGUGAAAUCUCGGGGCUUAACUCCGAAACUGCAUUCCAUACUGCGGUGCUCGAGGACUGGAGAGGAGACUGGAAUUCAUGGUGUAGCAGUGAAAUGCGUAGAGAUCAUGAGGAAGACCAGUGGCGAAGGCGGGUCUCUGGACAGUUCCUGACACUGAGGCACGAAGGCCAGGGGAGCAAACGGG